GUCACGAAAUGGCGCUGCGUUGAUCUUUGAUUCAACAAGUUGAGAGCGAAACUCGUCUCAAAUGUUUUUUUUUUUGGUUAAGUAACCGCUGUGAAAUCCGCACUUCGAUCGAGAUUCUUUUCGAGAAUCGCAAUAUCGCUUUUCUGUAGACUUCAAGCAGAGAUUAGUCUGGGUUAGUCGGGAUAUAUCGCGGAGAUUGUAGAGUUCCAUUCAAACUGCUCCGAAUUGAUCGUGAUUCUUAGUGUUUAAACAAAUGCAUGCACAAAGUCAUCGCGAAUGUUUCUUGUAAAAUGUCGAAAGUUUGUAAUAACAUGUUAAAUAUCGCGUACAAUCACUAUUGUUGCGAUUUCGGAUACUCGAUUCAUUUUUGCGUGCUUCGGAUAUCGUCCGAAAUGCAUCGAAAAUGCUGAGAAUGCACAAUCAUGUUUAGGUGUGCAAGCAAAAAUGGAUUUCCAUGAAGCAGCGCAAAAUGGAGCAAGAGAGGAGUUGUCCAAUAAAUUCAAGUUAUCAACGGAUUUUCAACGUUUACAUCGUCGAUAAACUUUGUGCGCGUAAUCGGUGCUACGAAAUAUAUUCGUUGCGUCGUAAUAUAACAAAAUGCGCGUCGGGAGUGCCGUUAAUGCCGGGAAUGUCGUAAUAGUUUCGCGAGUACGAAACGUCGAACAGCGAAUCUAUAGAUGAACGCAUUUCUGUCGCAUGCUACGUCAAAUAUUUGGGACACGAUUUUUUCUCGAACUUUGGGCUUGGUUCGGCGGGAGGGAAGGAUCGGUUUUUAUCUUGGGAUCCCGAUCUGGGCCUUUUCUUCUUCGAGCUUAUGCCCUUUGUUUUGAGACAAUCGUGGCCCAAUUGAUAAGUGCGGUCGUCUGAAACGCGAACGGAAAUUCGCGCGUAAGGUCGCAUUUUGGACAAUUCGGUUCGAUUCGCUUGCGACGUCGGGAGUGCCGUUUAAAAGUGAGUCGCGCGAUUUUCGUACUCGGGCACGCGCGCGAGCAAAGCGUGCGCCGCGAACGCGUGUGAGUCAGUGUGAGUGCUUGUGCGUGUGUGUGUGAAGGACUACUGAGAGGAGCAGGAGGUCUAGGAAGCACUGGGCGACAGCAGAUCAACGAUACGAUCUUGAUCGUAAGCGAGAAAGGGCGCUUCGCUAUCAAGAGGUCCGGACAGCAAAGCAUUCCUUACAGCACGAACGUGUACUCUGUCUCGGGGAUGUGAUUGGUAGAUAGGUAAGUAGAUAGUUAGAUAGUUGGGUAGACGAGUAGGUGGAUUGUCUCUCGAUGCAACCGCACCGACGUAAGUGCACGUGUUACAUUAUUAUGCAUCGCAUGCGAAUGGAGCGACGGCCCGUUUCUCAGUUUGGUCCAAGACAGAUCCAAGAUGAUCUAUCCUAGGAAUAAGAAUUUAACCAGAAGAAAGGAAGGUGGCUACAUGUCGAGUACCUGUA